AACAGAAUCUGAUCAGGUUCAGUGUAUUGGCCAAAACAGAUUUUGUUGUGCACUAAUCCUGAGCACAUGGGGAAAGACUGAUCAAUCAACACUAAUCUGUCGCCCUAUCUUUAUCUGUGUUGAAAGCUUCAGUUUGCUCUAUCAGUCAGUCAGCAGGUUGUGUAUUGCAGUUGGGAUAAAUAAACCCAUCGUAUAGUGAAGUCUGUCAAUUAUAGGUCAGUUAGAUAGACACAAUAUUAAAGGGUACAUGUGUGGGCUGCAUCUGCAAGUUUGAGUGUUUCCUUAAUUGUUGCUUUUUUGCUCAUUUUUUAUGUGUUUUCUUUUUCUUUGUGUUUAUUCCUUUUUUAACGGAUUGCCCGUUUAGUGUACAAAAAGUGAGAAAGUAAGGACAAAUGCCGCCUGAAUCUUCCCAGACUCAUCUGAGCAUCAGUUUGAACCCAAAGUGAUUAAUUUUAUUAUGAUUGGAGGUGGAGACAAGCUCAUAGCUUUCAGAGAAGUUGGAACCUACCUUCUGUACACAUUUUUAUUUAAUAAAUGAAUUACAACAUUUACAGUUAUCAAAUAUUUAAAGUGUUGGCAACACUUUACAAUAAAGGACAUAGAAGUUUGAAUAUUUACUAGAACAAAUGUAUGAAUGAGGAACUGCUAGCGAGCAAUCUGUUAAAGAGUAACUCCUAGCUCAUUCUUAUCAAUCAAUUAAAUGUUAAUAUUUUCUUUUGUCCCGUGCUACAACCAGUUGCUUCCUGCUAUACUUGCACUCACAUUUUACUGCCCUUUUCUAAGGUGGUUUUGCUUCAGAAAAGCAACAAACUGCAUCUGUUUGAAGUUAAAAUUCUUGGGCAAUAUGAGGGCAUGGUUAAUGUAAUUUAUCAACAUAUCUCAUCUGCUUGUCUGUCCAUUGACUUCAUUUUGCGGUUUGUACUCAAACUCUGUUCUGUGGAUCCAUCAUGUUAAUACAGUGUGAUGUUGUACUGUGUGCUGCAGCUGUCCCCGAACAAAGCUAGUCGUCUCAAAUGGAAGAGACUGACUCCGCAGAAGACAGGACUGGUGGUCAAAGAUGUGGUCUGUCUACCCAGAGGACCCUUCCUGGCACAGCUGGAGAGACACAUUGUUCCAAGAGGCAAAGAACUAGCAGCUCUAACGGCGAUGGGAAUGACUGCUCGCAUCACCAUUGACUGUGGUUGGUCGGCCAAUCAGAUGCAUAGUCGUCUGGCGAUGCUCUUCCGGGGGCUGUUUGUGGAACGAAAGGGACAAAGGUUCUCCUUCACAUAUAUUCAGUCUGUGCAGGGCUCCAAGGUGCUGUUUGUCCCAGAGACCCCUGCAGAGGGUUGGACUGGAGAGCAGGUGCUCAGCAUCUCUGGACAUGGUGCUUUGUACAUCCUGAGCCACCAGGACUACCCACAGGUAAAACAAACAGCUGCCAUUUUCAUAUUAGAUGUUUGGUUUCCAUUUAUAUUAAUACAGUAUAUUAUGUUACAUUGAUC
rnacentral:lncRNA from 15 species